UACGUAGGGUGCGAGCGUUGUCCGGAAUUAUUGGGCGUAAAGAGCUUGUAGGCGGUCUGUCGCGUCUGCUGUGAAAAUCCGGGGCUCAACCCCGGACUUGCAGUGGGUACGGGCAGACUAGAGUGUGGUAGGGGAGACUGGAAUUCUUGGUGUAGCGGUGAAAUGCGUAGAUAUCAAGAGGAACACCGAUGGCGAAGGCAGGUCUCUGGGCCAUAACUGACGCUGAGAAGCGAAAGCAUGGGGAGCGAACAGG
rnacentral:rRNA from 1 species